AGCUUUAGGAAAAAAUCUAAGGUUAUACCUGCCCAAUGUAAAUGUCAUGAAUGGCCGCGGUACUUUGACCGUGCUAAGGUAGCGCAAUCAAUUGACUUUUAAUUGGAGUCAGGAAUGAAUGGAGUUACGGGGCUCAUCUGUCUCUUUACUAAUUACUUGAAAUUACUAUAUAGGUGAAAAAGCCUAUAAUAAGAAAAAGGACGAGAAGACCCUUAGAGUUUUACUUAAUAUAAAAUUAUAACAUAAAUUUUUACAAUAGUUUUGUUGGGGCAACAUAGGAGCAGUUAGUUCUAAUCUCCUGAAUUAAAUAUACCGAAUGUUUUAAAUUUAGAUAAACUACCUUAGGGAUAACAGCAUAAUUUAAAAAAUAAGUUUGUGACCUCGAUGUUGGACUAGGAAACUUUAAGGCUAGCCGUCUUCAAGGGAAGUUCUGUUCGAACUAUUAUUCCU
rnacentral:rRNA from 1 species